UACGUAGGGGGGCUGGCGUUGUCCGGAUUUAUUGGGCGUAAAGAGCGUGUAGGCGGCCAUGUAGGUCCGGUGUGAAAACUCGAGGCUUAACCUCGAGAUGUCAUCGGAAACCAUUUGGCUAGAGUCCGGAAGAGGAGAGUGGAAUUCCUGGUGUAGCGGUGAAAUGCGCAGAUAUCAGGAAGAACACCAAUGGCGAAAGCAGCUCUCUGGGACGGUACUGACGCUGAGGCGCGAAAGCGUGGGGAGCAAACAGG
rnacentral:rRNA from 1 species